GGGGGGGCUAAAUGGACAGUCGAGCGAGCUUGCCUAGAUGAUUUUAGUGCUUGCACUAAAUGAAACUAGAUACAAGCGAGCGGCGGACGGGUGAGUAACACGUGGGUAACCUGCCUCAUACAGGGGGAUAACAGUUAGAAAUGACUGCUAAUACCGCAUAAGACCACAGUACUGCAUGGUACAGUGGUAAAAACUCCGGUGGUAUGAGAUGGACCCGCGUCUGAUUAGCUGGUUGGUGGGGUAACGGCCCACCAAGGCGACGAUCAGUAUCCGGCCUGAGAGGGUGAACGGCCACAUUGGGACUGAGACACGGCCCAGACUCCUACGGGAGGCAGCAGUGGGGGAUAUUGCACAAUGGGGGAAACCCUGAUGCAGCGACGCCGCGUGAGCGAUGAAGUAUUUCGGUAUGUAAAGCUCUAUCAGCAGGGAAGAAAAUGACGGUACCUGACUAACAAGCCCCGGCUAACUACGUGCCAGCAGCCGCGGUAAUACGUAGGGGGCAAGCGUUAUCCGGAUUUACUGGGUGUAAAGGGAGCGUAGACGGCAGUGCAAGUCAGAUGUGAAAACCCGGGGCUCAACUCCGGGAUUGCAUUUGAGACUGUCCGGCUGGAGUGCAGGAGAGGCAAGUGGAAUUCCUAGUGUAGCGGUGAAAUGCGUAGAUAUUACGAGGAACACCAGUGGCGAAGGCGGCUUGCUGGACGAUGACUGACGUUGAGGCUCGAAAGCGUGAGGAGCAUACAGGAUUAGAUA
rnacentral:rRNA from 1 species